UCCUACGGGGCGCAGCAGUGGGGAAUAUUGCGCAAUGGGCGAAAGCCUGACGCAGCCACGCCGCGUGAGUGAUGAAGGCCUUCGGGUUGUAAAGCUCUGUCGGGAGGGACGAAAGGAGCAAUCCUUGACGGUACCUCGCAAGAAAGCACCGGCUAACUCUGUGCCAGCAGCCGCGGUAAUACAGAGGGUGCAAGCGUUGCUCGGAUUUACUGGGCGUAAAGCGUACGCAGACGGUGAGAAAGGUCGGAUGUGAAAGCCCCGGGCUCAACCCGGGAACUGCAUCCGAAACCAUCUCGCUAGAGUAUGGGAGAGGGAAGCGGAAUUCCUGGUGUAGAGGUGAAAUUCGUAGAUAUCAGGAGGAACAUCUGCGGCGAAGGCGGCUUCCUGGCCCAUUACUGACGUUCAGGUACGAAAGCGUGGGUAGCAAACAGGAUUAGAUACCCCGGUAGUCC
rnacentral:rRNA from 1 species